rnacentral:tRNA from 1 species
GCCCGGAUCGUCUAGUGGCCUAGGACUCAACCCUGUCACGGUUGCAACCCGAGUUCGAAUCUCGGUUCGGGCG